rnacentral:tRNA from 1 species
CUAGAGAGUAGUAUAAUUUGGAAGUACGCAAAGUUUUGGGCUUUGUUGUGCGGGUUCGGGUCCCGGGUCUCUAG